UGAGGAAUAUUGGACAAUGGAGGAGACUCUGAUCCAGCCAUGCCGCGUGCAGGAAGAAUGCCCUAUGGGUAGUAAACUGCUUUUAUACGGGAAGAAAAAGAGCUACGUGUAGCUUACUGACGGUACCGUAAGAAUAAGGACCGGCUAACUCCGUGCCAGCAGCCGCGGUAAUACGGAGGGUCCGAGCGUUAUCCGGAAUUAUUGGGUUUAAAGGGUCCGUAGGCGGGCCGAUAAGUCAGGGGUGAAAGUUUGCAGCUCAACUGUAAAAUUGCCUUUGAUACUGUUGGUCUUGAGUUAUAGUGAAGUUGCCGGAAUAUGUAGUGUAGCGGUGAAAUGCAUAGAUAUUACAUAGAACACCGAUUGCGAAGGCAGGUGACUAACUAUAUACUGACGCUGAUGGACGAAAGCGUGGGGAGCGAACA
rnacentral:rRNA from 1 species